GUGCGCNUUAUGCAUGCAAGUUGAGCGAAGCUUUUCAGUAGUUUACUACAGAAAAUGACUGAGCGGCGAACGGGUGAGUAACGCGUGAGCAAUCUACCUUUAGUUACUGGGAUAGCCCGAGGAAACUCGGAUUAAUACCGGAUAUUCUUAUUUUUUCACAUGAAGUUUUAAGGAAAGGUCAGCCGAACUAAGAUGAGCUCGCGUUCUAUCAGCUAGUUGGUGGGGUAAAAGCCUACCCAAGGCUACGACGGAUAGCUGGUCUGAGAGGACGAUCAGCCACACUGGGACUGAGACACGGCCCAGACUCCUACGGGAGGCUGCAGCAGGGAAUAUUGCGCAAUGAGCGAAAGCUUGACGCAGCGACACCGCGUGUGGGAUGACGGUUCUAGGAUUGUAAACCACUUUCAGGAGGGAAGAAAAUGACGGUACCUCCACAAGAAGACCCGGCCAACUACGUGCCAGCAGCCGCGGUAAUACGUAGGGGUCAAGCGUUGUCCGGAUUUAUUGGGCGUAAAGAGCUCGUAGGCGGUUCAACAAGUCGGUCGUAAAAGUUUAGGGCUCAACCCUAAAAUGUCGAUCGAUACUGUUGUGACUAGGAUACGGUAGAGGUGAAUGGAAUUCCGAGUGUAGCGGUGAAAUGCGUAGAUAUUCGGAGGAACACCAAUUGCGAAGGCAGUUCACUGGACCGUGAUCGACGCUGAGGAGCGAAAGCUAGGGGAGCAAACAGGAUUAGAUACCCUGGUAGUCCUAGCUGUAAACGAUGGAUACUAGAUGUAGGAACUGGAUUGACGGUUUCUGUAUCGUAGCUAACGCGUUAAGUAUCCCGCCUGGGGAGUACGGUCGCAAGACUAAAACUCAAAGGAAUUGACGGGACCCCGCACAAGCGGCGGAGCAUGCGGCUUAAUUCGAUGAUACCCGUAGAACCUUACCUGGACUUGACA
rnacentral:rRNA from 1 species